rnacentral:rRNA from 1 species
AACGUAGGACACAAGCGUUAUCCGGAGUUACUGGGCGUAAAGGGCGUGUAGGCGGAUCGGUAAGUCUACUCUGAAAGCUCCUGGCUAAACUGGGAGAGGCGAGUGGAGACUGUCGGUCUAGAGUGAGGAAGAGGAAAGUGGAAUUCCGCGUGUAGUGGUGAAAUGCGUAGAGAUGGGGGAGAACACUCGUGGCGAAGGCGGCCAGCUAGACCAGUUCUGACACUGAGGCGCGACAGCGUGGGGAGCAAACAGG